rnacentral:tRNA from 1 species
GGACGCUUAGCUCAGCGGGAGAGCACUCGCUUCACGCGCGAGGGGUCGUAGGUUCAAAUCCUACAGCGUCCA